rnacentral:sRNA from 1 species
AUGGAAGGGGAUGAUGUGCCUUCUGCAUCACAGCAUGUGGCAAGAUGCAAUGUAAAGUUGACACUGGCUUGGUAUUAAGUUAUUAACAUGUUGGUCAUGGUUGCAAAUUCAAAAUUCAAGUUGGGUCAUGACAUAUUUUUGUGAUAAUAGGUGCUAAUGAUCUCUACAUGGUAUAUAUGGAGUCUUUUUAAUAUUUUAGUUUUCACUUUAACAAUGUAGAAAUUGAGUCAUUAAUGAUUGAGUGUUUAUAUGUUACACAUUUCUGCAAAUUUGUUCAACACAUGGCAUAGAUUUGCGAUUACUACAAAUAAUAAUUGUUCAAUCACUUUAAUUUUAAAUUUGGGUUUGGAUAAGAUUAAAAUCCAACUUAUAUAUGAAUACUUCUCAAAUUAUUUCUUUAUGAGAUGUACAACUUUACUCUUAUAUAGCUUUUUAAAAUAAAUAAACAAAUAAAAGCAAUCUCAAAUGAAUGCAAAGUAAUUGAAAAUUAAUAUUUCAUCACUGAAUCAGGGAAAAAAAUAUAAUAUAUGAAAACAUGGUAUACAAACAAAAUUAGGCAAGAACUUAUUUAAAUUACACAGUUGUUUUAAUCUGCAGAAAACAUUCAUUAUUUAGCUCAAACAAAUAACAACUAAAGCAACAUAGGAAUUUAUUGAAAUUACAAAAGAGCCAUGAUAGAAAGAAACUAAUGGUUACAUUCUUUGAAAGAUAACAGGUAUAAACACUGUGUUGGGAAAUUUUAGUAUUGAAUCUAUUCGAAAUAAGACUAUUCGAAUAGCCUACACAAUUCAUAUAAAUCAAAAGAUAAUCUAUUGGCAGUAUUUCUGCAGCGAAGGUGGGUAGAUUUUCACAAUUUCAAAUGGUAAGAUUCCUUCCCUUCAUGGUUUUAGUCUUUCUGGUUAUAGCAGAAGUGAAACCGUAUAGCAAAAGUUCAAACCGUAUGGUUGUCCUUCAAACCGUCAAAAUAGAGCUCCAAUUAAGAACCACAGCAAUCAAAACAAUCACCCACACCACAGCAUGAAAGAGGCAAUAACAAAAUGUACAACUCAGAGUUCCAAUUAAAAGCCCUAGCAAUCAGAAUUUCAUAAUAACAAUCAUCCACACCACAACACGAAAGAGGCAGUAACAAAAUGAAAAAAGGGAAACAAAAAACAUCAAGCAAAAGAAUGGAGCACAAAAGGAAUUGGGAUUUAGAGAUACCUCAAUCGAAUCAUCCAGGUUCUGUCAGUAUUUAUACACUGUGAGAAGAGGAAAACAGAAAGGAAGGAAGAUAGAUGGGCGGCUGUUACUAUGAAACCGUAGAGCAGGAAGGUGGGGAGAUUUUCACAGUUUCAAAUGGUAAUAGAUUCCUUCUCUUCAGGGUUUCAGACUUUCUGGUUUUCCUUAGGUUGAAACGAUGUGAAACCGUAUAGCAGAAGUCAAACUGUUCCCUGCGCUGUGUACCCUCUUUCACGGUUUCAAUUUUCCUGUUUUUCCUUUAAGUUGAAAAGGUUUGGGUUUGGGCUUUUAUGAUGGAAUUAAAUAGAUAAGAAAUGGGCUUUAUAGUGUAAAUAGGGCUGUGAUUUAUUAUACAGGUUUAUUAUUAUUUUGAAAUUUAUAGAUUUAUUAUGAUUCUAAAAUUUUUUUUUAAUUAUUUUAAAAUUGUAGGAAAAAAGGGUGGAAAUGACAUGGACAUUGACAUGGCACAACCUGAGUGCAGCUACAUUUAACGCUACGCUUCAGCUUUUAGUAAUAUAUAGAUAAUUGUCUCUACACUGGUUUCAUUGCAAUGACUCAACAUAAUUGUUAUUGAGUUUGACAAUGCCUUGGGCCACAUACUUAUGAGAAACAAAAUUGAAGAUGCUUAUGAGAAACAAAAUUGAAGACACUUCAUGACACUAAUAGCAUUGUUGAUGCUCUGUAAGUGAUUAUGCAAAUAAUUUACCUUGGUCGGCCUAUUAACCUGUUGUCUAUAGGAUUCUUCUUUUUCUUUUUUCUUUUUAAAAAAAAAGGAAACUCUAAACUCUUCAUUUCCGCUUUUCCUUAAUUCCAAUACUAAGUAUUCGUAUCCCUAAUAUUUAAUUAAGAUUUAUUUGAAAAUAAAAUUAAGGACAAAAACAUAUUUUUAAAAGAUCUAAUCUACUAACGUGAACAUGUGCAAAAAAAAAUGGCAUAACUUCUUCACAUUGUUGUUGGUUGUCCAGGAACCAUCAAUCUGGGAGUUCUAUGAUGCCUCAGAAUCUACAAUCCACCAGCAGCAGCUUCUUUCACUGCGUUAACAGUUUCUUCCACCACAUCAUUUACUGCCUCUUCCUCCACUACUGGAGCCGUUGUGAGAGACCACGCUCCCGACCCGUUUUGGAAUUAGGCCAAACCCACGUGAAUAGAUGGAGUCAUGUUAUUACCUCUUAACAUGGAGGUUCGACUGAUUAUAUUUUCCACCUUUAGAUUAAGGGUUUUAUAAUAGAGUCGCCACUUAUUUAAUUAUUGGAAAAAAUAAGAAAACCAUAAUUGAAAAAUUCAUCAUUUUAUUAAUUUGAAACUAAAUUUAUAUUGAUCAUAGGAAAUUACAUGGCUUUGGUCUUAGAUUCAAUCUACAAUAAAGUACAUAGAUUUGUUUCCUAGUUACUAGCUAGAAAUUGAAAAUUACAUGGACGAGUAUUGAUGUAUUAACCCUUGAUCUAAGCUUGGACUUGGAGGCUAUGUUACAAGAUAGGAAGGUGUUAGGCACCCACCUUACCCAGUGAAACCAAUUUUGUAGACUAUGGUGGCCAGCAUUCAUCUGAUAUCAUCCAAUAUGUUAUCAACCAAUUUGCAUGUCAAAUUUAAUGUGAGUGCAUGUGAUAAACCCCAAUUCCAUUUAUUAAUCAUUGCAUUUUGAUUGAAAAAUAAAUUUUAGUGAAUGUGUGUGAUUGGUAAUACCCUGGAUUCAAGGAUUUGAGAGAAUUAUGAAACUAACAUGUUGUUCAUAUUUUGGAUGUGGAUUUAAGAUCAAAGCUAGUGUCAUGCAUGAACAUGUGAUGAACAAACAAGAACAUGUGAAGAACGCAUAUGAACAUUUAACAAUAUCAUGAACAUUCAAAUGUAUUCAAGAAAUUUAAAUAAUCAUUAGCAUGCUUUAAUUUUAAAUUCUCAUCAUAGCAACAUAAAAAACAAGUUAAGGAAAGGGAUUAUACCUGCAUGCAAAAUCCAUAUAAUAGAGGAGGAGGCUCUUGGUAAAGGUAGUGUAAUAGAGAAGAAGAAUUAGGAGAAUGAGAAUAAGUCUUACUCAAUACCUUGUGUCUUAGGAAGAUCAAGAUAUAACAAUACCAACUCUACUUCAUUAGAACUCAAGAGGAGAGAAGAGAGGAUGUUUCCCUAUUUAUCCUCAAACGGAGGAGAUGGGAGUUUAUAUAGUAGCGGUGGAGAAAAUAUAAAUGGAAGGGCAUUUAAUUGGAUUGACAAAGGAUCAAAGAGAAUCAUGAACCUAGACCCUAUUUCAGUAUUUAGAGAAAGUAGGUGCAUUAAAUUUGGAGGUUGGUGGGAGUGAUGAGCAAGCAAAAUAACUAAAACCUCGGUUCUUCCCAUAGCCCUUGUAACAGUUCUUAGAGCUAUCUUAGAAAAAUCAUGUCUUUCUCAAUUCUGAUCAGAAUUGCCUCAUUCUUGUAGUCAAGGCCAUACCCACAUCCCACACCCACACUGUCACUCUUUGGUCUCAUCUCUUUCCAUUGAUAAUUCUAUUUGUUUGUCUCUCUUUUUUGUUAACAUAUCAAUUUUCCUAAAUGUCAUAUUAAUUUACAUGAUUGUUUAUUCAUUUGUCAUCACAGUGUUCUUAUCUCUUCACUAUUUUUUAACAAAAAUGGUUUGUCUAGUAAGCCAAAGCAAAGACACUGCCUGUAAAAAGGGUUGCAUAUUCAGGAAGAUUUCAUUGAUGUCCUAGUGUUUGAGAUGUAUGAAACAAUUACUAGCUGUGUUACAUCUGAUUUUUUGGAGUUUGAAUUGAGUGGGGUUUAGCCAUAGAAGGUUCUAGAAUAAUAAAUUGUCAGAAGGAAAGAGCUGAUCGGGCUAUCACUUGGUAAAAAAAAAUGUUUGGAAAGUUCAUUGCAGAAAAUUUUAGGAGAGAUUGAAGAUGGGAUGAAUGAGGAUUUUUGUAAUGUGAAAACACUCAAGGAUAGCAAAAGAGUUUUGAGGCUUUAGGAACAUACACUUAAGCAGUGUAAGUAGAGGAAGGCAAAGGAUGAUGAUGGGUCAGGGGGGGAGGAUGUGGCAGGGGUUGAUGUGUCUAGGGCUGAUUUGGCAGGGGAGGAUGUGGUAGGGGCUGAUGUGGUAGUGGAGGAUGUGGCAAGGGCUAAUUUGGCAAGGGAGGAUAUGGUAGUGGCUGAUGUGUCUGGGGCUGAUGUGACUGGGACUGAUGUGUCUGGAGCUAAUUUGGCAAGUGCUAAUUUGGUAGGGGAGGAUGUGGUAGGGGUUGAUGUGGUAGUGGAGGAUGUGGCAAUGGAGGAUGUGGCAACAAAGAAUGUGGCAGGGGCUAAUUUGGUACAGUGGAUGCGUAAUCAAGAAGUUUUUCAUUGA